UUAUAUAUAUAUAUAUAUAUAUAUAUAUAUAUAAAUAAUAGAUUGGAAAAAGUAAGUUUAAAGUAUUAGUUCUCUUCAGAAUUAAAAUUUCCUGAUAAUUUACUCACCCCCAUGUCAUCCAAGAUGUUUAUGUUUUUCUUUCUUCAGUCAAAAAGAAAUGAAGGUUUUUGAGGAAAACAUUCCAGGAUUUUUCUCCAUAUAGUGGACUUCACUGGGGUUCAACGGGUUGAAGGUCCAAAUGUCAGUUUCAGUGCAGCUUCAAAGAGCUCUACAUGAUCCCAGACGAGGAAUAAGGGUCUUAUCUAGCGAAACAGGCGGCCAUUUGUAUAUAAAAUGUAUAUAUUUUUUUAACCACAAAUGCUUGUCUUGCACUGCUCUGCAAUCGCCACGCAUUAUGUAAUCACGCUGGAAAGGUCACUAAGCUAAUCCUUUAAGUAAAUUUAAGUUACUGAAACUAAAACUGAAAUAAAAAUAAAUUAAAGAAAUAUAAAAACUAAUGAUAAAAAGGGGAAAAGAACGUAGAAAAAAAUACUAAAAUGUAAACUAAAAUUACAAACUAAAAAUGUAAAAACAAAAGCUAAUUCAAAAUAUUAAUAAUUUCAUUAACACAUUAGUUUGGGGUCCGAUUCUCACUAUUAAGUAGUUUAUUAGCAUGCAUAUUACUAGGAUAUUGGCUGUUUAUUAGUACUUAUAAAGCACAUAUUAAUGCCUUAUUCUGCAUGAUCAUAUUCUACAUCCCUUAAUCCUACCAAUACCUAAACUUAACAACUACCUUACUAACUAUUAAUAAGCAGUAAUUAAGAGUUCAUUAAGGCAAAAGUCGUAGUUAAUAGUGAAAAUUGGACCCUAAUCUAAAGUGUGACCAUAAAUUCUAUAAUAGAAUAUAAAUAAUACUACAAUAAACACCCCUUAAUUGUGUUCAAAACACCAUAGCGCACAGCCUCUUGCAUUUUAAAACAAUUUAAGUAUUUUAAAGCAGUUUAAACAUUUCUCUCUCUCUCUCUCUCUCUCUCUCUCUCUCUCUCUGUCUCUCUCUCUCUUUCUUUCUUGUACAGUAAAUGAGUAAUGAACUCUUUGUUGCUGGUGAAGAGGAGGGGGUGACGGGUGAGUGUUUGUUUCCAUGCAUUCAUUAAACAGCAGCUGAAACUGAAUUGGAGAAAAGGACACACACACGUUUACAGAGGUAUGUAAAUUAGGACAUACCAAAGACUUCUCAGCCAACAAACACAAACUUUUACACUAAAAUAAGUUUUCAAAAACAUGAUAUACUUUUAUUUAUGAAUAAUAAAGACCUCUGAAGACAUCUGCAAAAGCAUUUUUUUUUUUCCUCCAAGAUACAUUUCAGCUUCUGUUGCAUGUUCAACAAAGCUGAACACAUGAAACACACAGAGGUUGAUGUCAUAGAUCACGAAGUCUGAUGUAAUCUCUCCAAGCACUUUGGGGAGAGACAUUGUGUGUGUGUGUAUGUGUGUGUGUGUGUGUGUGUGUGUGUGUGUGUGUGUGUGUGCGCAGACAUGUGCAGCUUGUGCUCGUAGCGGUCUGGCCCGAUCAGCAGUCUGACAGUGAAGGGAGGAGGCGGGAGAGCCAGGUUUAUUUGCAUAAUUAUGGUCGUGCUUCCUGAAACACAGCCCCGCCCACCGUCAACCUUUCAUCAACCCGAAUACUGAACAGCUCAAACACACAGCAGCCAGAUAAGAGCUGCCACGCACCAGACCGCACGCCUCCGUCCGCCCGCUCAACGAGUGUUUACUUCUGAGGAAAGACAGCAGGCGGAGAGAGGGAGGACAAACAGACGAGUGUGACCUGCAGCAGGCAGCAUGCACCAGCUCCCUGGAUCCGACCUCAGAUGAUGGAUACCAGCUGAAAUGUGUCCAGUUAAAUCAUUAGGACACACACUACAGGCCAGUCAUUCAGAGAGGCAAGUAAAGUCAACAUCCAGCCCUCUCAAUGAUGCUGAACUAAUGCUGAUUGAUCACUGCUGGUGCGUGUGUGUGUGUGUGUGUGUGUGAUCGGUUUCAGCUGUAAAUCAUAUCAGCUUGUUGUUUGCUGUAUCUUCAGAUGCCUUUACCUUGUUUUGUUCUGGUUUGUAAAUGUCGGCCUCAGUGUGUGUGUGUGUGUGUGUGUGUGUGUGAAAAGGCUUUAUCUGCUGUUAUCUUCGCCGGCCCGCUUUGCAGCUGCUCUCCACCUGUCACUCACACAGGGAGUGGUGCUCGUGGUCUGGGCUGCUCGCGUGUACACGCGCGUCUGUGAGUUACGGGGUCGCAGAGGGUUGCAUUCUGUAAUAAAAUACAACUGAUGGAAUGCAUGCAAAAAUUAAUUAAUACUGAAGACGAGUAUUGCAUGUGAAAUUUCAAGCAGU